rnacentral:rRNA from 1 species
GAUGAACGCUGGCGGCGUGCUUAACACAUGCAAGUCGAACGGAAAGGCCUCUGCUUGCAGGGGUACUCGAGUGGCGAACGGGUGAGUAACACGUGGGUGAUCUGCCCUGCACUUCGGGAUAAGCCUGGGAAACUGGGUCUAAUACCGGAUAGGACAAUGGUUUGGAUGCUGUUGUGGAAAGUUUUUCGGUGUGGGAUGAGCUCGCGGCCUAUCAGCUUGUUGGUGGGGUAAUGGCCUACCAAGGCGUCGACGGGUAGCCGGCCUGAGAGGGUGUACGGCCACAUUGGGACUGAGAUACGGCCCAGACUCCUACGGGAGGCAGCAGCGGGGGAUAUUGCACAAUGGGCGCAAGCCUGAUGCAGCGACGCCGCGUGGGGGAUGACGGCCUUCGGGUUGUAAACUCCUUUCGCUAGGGACGAAGCGUUUUUGUGACGGUACCUGGAGAAGAAGCACCGGCUAACUACGUG